AGGGAAUCUUCCGCAAUGGGCGAAAGCCUGACGGAGCAACGCCGCGUGAGUGAUGAAGGUCUUCGGAUCGUAAAACUCUGUUAUUAGGGAAGAACAAAUGUGUAAGUAACUAUGCACGUCUUGACGGUACCUAAUCAGAAAGCCACGGCUAACUACGUGCCAGCAGCCGCGGUAAUACGUAGGUGGCAAGCGUUAUCCGGAAUUAUUGGGCGUAAAGCGCGCGUAGGCGGUUUUUUAAGUCUGAUGUGAAAGCCCACGGCUCAACCGUGGAGGGUCAUUGGAAACUGGAAAACUUGAGUGCAGAAGAGGAAAGUGGAAUUCCAUGUGUAGCGGUGAAAUGCGCAGAGAUAUGGAGGAACACCAGUGGCGAAGGCGACUUUCUGGUCUGUAACUGACGCUGAUGUGCGAAAGCGUGGGGAUCAAACAGGAUUAGAUACCCUGGUAGUCCACGCCGUAAACGAUGAGUGCUAAGUGUUAGGGGGGUUCCGCCCCUUAGUGCUGCAGCUAACGCAUUAAGCACUCCGCCUGGGGAGUACGACCGCAAGGUUG
rnacentral:rRNA from 1 species